rnacentral:hammerhead_ribozyme from 1 species
AUCCAGCUGAUGAGUCCCAGAAAGGAUGAAAUACGCGUCUUGUAU